CCUACGGGAGGCAGCAGUGAGGAAUAUUGGUCAAUGGACGAGAGUCUGAACCAGCCAAGUAGCGUGAAGGAUGACUGCCCUAUGGGUUGUAAACUUCUUUUAUAUGGGAAUAAAAUGUUCCACGUGUGGGAUUUUGUAUGUACCAUAUGAAUAAGGAUCGGCUAACUCCGUGCCAGCAGCCGCGGUAAUACGGAGGAUCCGAGCGUUAUCCGGAUUUAUUGGGUUUAAAGGGAGCGUAGGUGGAUUGUUAAGUCAGUUGUGAAAGUUUGCGGAUCAACCGUAAAAUUGCAGUUGAAACUGGCAGUCUGGAGUACAGUAGAGGUGGGCGGAAUUCGUGGUGUAGCGGUGAAAUGCUUAGAUAUCACGAAGAACUCCGAUUACGAAGGCAGCUCACUGGACUGCAACUGACACUGAGGCUCGAAAGUGUGGGUAUCAAACAGGAUUAGAUACCCCUGUAGUC
rnacentral:rRNA from 1 species